rnacentral:rRNA from 1 species
UACGGAGGGGGCUAGCGUUGUUCGGAAUUACUGGGCGUAAAGCGCACGUAGGCGGCUUUGUAAGUUAGAGGUGAAAGCCCGGGGCUCAACUCCGGAAUUGCCUUUAAGACUGCAUCGCUAGAAUUGUGGAGAGGUAAGUGGAAUUCCGAGUGUAGAGGUGAAAUUCGUAGAUAUUCGGAAGAACACCAGUGGCGUAGGCGACUUACUGGACACAUAUUGACGCUGAGGUGCGAAAGCGUGGGGAGCAAACAGG